rnacentral:rRNA from 1 species
UUCCGGUUGAUCCCGCCGGACCUGACUGCUAUCGGAUUGAUACUAAGCCAUGCGAGUCUUUGCAGUAAUGCAAGGCAUACGGCUCAGUAACACGUAGUCAACUUACCCUAUGGACGAGGAUAAUCUCGGGAAACUGAGCAUAAUACUCGAUAGAUCAUAAUGCCUGGAAUGGUUUAUGGUUGAAAUGAUUCGUCGCCAUAGGAUGGGACUGCGGCCUAUCAGCUUGUUGGUGAGGUAAAGGCCCACCAAGGCUAUUACAGGUACGGGCUCUGAGAGGAGUAGCCCGGAGAUGGGUACUGAGACACGGACCCAGGCCCUAUGGGGCGCAGCAGGCGAGAAAACUUUGCAAUGUGCGAAAGCACGACAAGGUUAAUCCGAGUGGUUUCUGCUAAAGGAACCUUUUGUUAGUCCUAGAAACACUAACGAAUAAGGGGUGGGCAAGUUCUGGUGUCAGCCGCCGCGGUAAAACCAGCACCUCAAGUGGUCAGGAUGAUUAUUGGGCCUAAAGCAUCCGUAGCCGGCUCUAUAAGUUUUCGGUUAAAUCUGUACGCUCAACGUACAGGCUGCCGGGAAUACUGCAGAGCUAGGGAGUGGGAGAGGUAGACGGUACUCGGGAGGAAGGGGUAAAAUCCUUUGAUCUCUCGAUGACCACCUGUGGCGAAGGCGGUCUACCAGAACACGUCCGACGGUGAGGGAUGAAAGCUGGGGGAGCAAACCGGAUUAGAUACCCGGGUAGUCCCAGCUGUAAACUAUGCAAACUCAGUGAUGCAUUGACUUGUGGUCAAUGCAGUGCUGCAGGGAAGCCGUUAAGUUUGCCGCCUGGGAAGUACGUACGCAAGUAUGAAACUUAAAGGAAUUGGCGGGGGAGCACCACAAGGGGUGAAGCCUGCGGUUCAAUUGGAGUCAACGCCGG